GCUGGAGUGCUGAGAGUUGGAGAUUCGGGGUCACGAGCUCCUGUGAUCAACCUCAGCUGGAUUUGAAUCUACCACGUUUUUGCAAGAUUUAGUAGCAGUGGAAAUCACAAGGGUUUAGACUCUUGUGGACACAAGUUGGUGGGAUUUCUUAGCUUGUAGUUGUGUUUCUGUGAUUUUGAAGCUCACUGUCGGCUCGAAACCAAGAUGCAGUGAGUUUGAAGAAUGCAGCUCAUUGUUGGGUUGAAUUUCAUGUAUUUGGAUAUAGGGUUUGAAGCUCAACUUGGUGAUUUUAACGGAGUUUUUGCUCAAAACGUUCCUUGUUGUGCUCAUACCCACAGACUAGGUUCGUGAGUUGUGGUCGAUUUGGAGUUGGUGAUGCACAUCCACCGAUAGUUAGCAAGGUUUUUAAGGCUGUAAUCGGAAAUUUUGAACGCGGCUACUGCGUGUGGGUCCGGGGUUGUGCUGAUCGAUAUCCUUUCUGUUGUUGGUUUGUGAGUGCAAGUGCAAUGGAGCUAUGAUGCUCAGAAGCAACUUUGUUGUUUGGCUUUAUUGUAGUGUCAUUUUGGCUCGAAGAAUCUUCAGCCUUGGUCUCUGGAAGGGUGGUAGCAUUAACUCCUGGGUUUUUCGGAGCACGUGGAGGGUUUUCUGUUUGUUAGUUCCACCACCUUGCAUAAAUGGUUUGCUUGCUGUGUAACCCCGCAUGUUCACUUCUUUGGUCUUUAUUUAUUUAUUUAUUUAUUUUUCUUUUUUUUUGGUUGUCUUGCAGAUGUUGAGUUUAACGCCAGUAAGGAAUAAAAAGCAUGUGUAAAUUGAAUACAGAGAGUUUCGAAAAAAACUUCUGUUGGUUGAUACGGUUCUUUAAAGUUCCUUUUCUUUAUAACAGGAAAAGAGAAUGUGUACUUCGAUAGGGUCCCAGAAGAAGCACGGUGAGUUAACUUACCAGUGCAGGAGAAGCUAAUGAGGCAGUCUGGGUAACAGGGUUUGAAACUUGAGCAGUUGGUGGAGCUCAAAUGCGGCGAGUAAGCAGGGCCAGUAGCGCGAUGGUGCGCUGAUAUGGACGCUUGCGUACAAGAACCUACACAGCACCUCGAGCAUACUCCCAGACCUUUUGGAUAAAUAUUCAUGGUGCAAGUUGUUCGACAGGUUCCAGAAUCUGGAGGUUGUUAGUAGGAAGUGCGUGCAUUUGAUAUAUUUGAACCCGUAUUACGGCGCUACCAGCAAGUAGAGUAUCGAGACACAUCAAUGAAAGUAGAGGGUUCGUUACUGGCGACCGUUGCCCAAUUCACAAGAAAAAUGCCUCCUCUUAAGCUCAUGAGGCUGAACGAGUUCGAGGUUGUGAAGAGUGAGAAGGCCAGGAUGUGGAACCCGCCGUCUUGAACACAGGUUGGGGAUGUGGAGGUGAUUAGUGCUAGUGAGCUUCAGCAUGUACAGAAGCUAAAGUUGACGGAUGUCAGAGUUAUAUUAUGUUAGGGUUUUUUGGGCUACGCAGUCAUGAAGAGCUAACUCGAAGAAAAACCUUGGAUAUUGGAACCAGUUGCCACCAGCAUUUCAAUAUCGAGCUCUCAUUUACUGAGGGUUAUUGUGCGGAAUGUUUUGGUUAAAUGCACCUGAAAUUUACAAUAAUGCCUGAGCUUUGGUAUCCGUAUCCCGUCUGUUGCCUUCUACAGAAAUUGUACAUGACAUGGUGCUAAAAUGUGAAAUGUUACGGUAUCAUUGUCUUGGCAUACAGCUUAGUGCAACUCCGACAGCUCAAGCUCCCAUCCCAGAAGCUUAUCGGGAGCCAUGCAUUCAUAACGUAUGAUGGAGCAACAGGUGUGGAUUGGUGCUGGCAAUACUGCUCACUAUGGCACUUGAACGACUCAAAUCUUCUUACGUAGGGUUGAUGUGUAUCCCUAGGUGCACUGAAUGAAGACCAUCGAAGUUGGAGACUGCAUUGACGUUACAAGCUUCGAACUGAUGCACAGCAGUGCUGAUUGUGAGAACCUACGGGAAUUCGACUGCUGCAGGAUUUUUGAUGCACCGUGGAAACUAACGCUAGGGUCACAAUAAUCCCAAAAAAGGUCUUGAGGCCUGCAAUCAUUUUCUGUUCUGGUGUCUUUCUUUAAGAUUUUCAGAUGUAUUGGUACUUUCAGAUCAGUGGGCAUCGGAGAUCAACGAGUUGCAGCAAUUGCAAGUGGUUGUAAGCGUUUAAAGGUGGUAAAAGUAACUUAUCGCGAGCACAUCAAAGAUGCAACGUUACACUCACUUGCAAUGAAUAGGGGAACAUCUGCAGCAAGGGCUUGCUCUCAAAUAAAUAUACUACACUGCCUUGUCAGAUUUGAAGAUGAUGCCAGUUUCAAGUAUGUCGUGCAUGUAGGACAUGCAGUUGGCACAGAUCUAGGAUGUUUCACGUGAUAUCUACGCCAAGACUUUUGGAUGCACCAGCUUGAGAAAAGCGAUGCUUUUCUUAGGGUUGUUUGCUAUUCUAACUUCCGAGGUGGUUAGCAACUCGAUUACCUGCGGAUCUAGGCCACGCUGAAUGGAGAAACUAGAUCUAUAGGUUUUUGGGGAGUUGCGUGGCCAGCUGAAAGUUUGUCGAAACUGUACUUAUGAAGUGAAUGUCGUCCUGAUUAAAAGUAGCCUGUCAGCACUUGAGAGGCGAUUCUUAAGAUGCUUAGAACUGGGAUAUGAAUACAACUCGUCUCCAAUUUGAAAUAGGUACAUUGUGACAGUUCUCGGUCCAUCUGAAUAUUUACCUUUCAGCCGUUACCAAGUCCACGGAACUCCUUGGGCUUAGUCCAAGCUUCAUCUCUCGAUUCAAGUUUUAGGAGAGGAAAUGUAUACACGAAUGCGGACCCACAUCAACAUGAUGCUGCUUGCGUGAAGUAUGGGUGCUUCAAAGAAAACGUUCCCUGGAGAAGUGUUCCAGUCUCCAUCUUAUGUACAACGCAUCUGUAAUAUGCAGAUUUCCUCGCCCACAGGAGAGUGGCUCUUCUCAGUGCUUCUCUUUUCAUUCAGAUUUGCUCCUUCGACAGCGACAAACGUGUUCACAAGCUUACAUUGUGUUGGAUUUCAGGACGAAGCAGUGUGCAGAUCAAGAGAAGCUGACACUAGGUUUCGUCUCCCUCCAAUGCAGUAGAAACUCUGCUGAUAAGCCAUGGAAAAGUUGCAAUUAGCAUUACCAGAAACUGUAAUUUCUCAUGUUACAGUCUGAUAGCUAGCUACUGGCUGUGUUGCCAGUUAGUGUAGGUGAACUUAACUUUUUCUUCUUCUCUUUCUCCUAGAUUCUAGUUCUGUUUCUACACUAGAGCCAUGGCUCUUAACUCCUUCGAGAAAUCAGUUUCAGGAGAAAACAUUCUCUUCCAAUCCGUGUGUGGAAAGGUGGGUGCAUAGAUCCAAGCACCCUCAGAAAUUCAAGAUAUGACUGUAUAUAUAUAUAUAUAUAUAUAUAUAUGUAUAUGAAUACAUAAAUAUGCUGUAGCUAGCUAGUUAGUCAGUUAUGUGGUGAUCACCACAGUGAACUGUUGGGUUGAUCUUUCACUGCAGAAGCAACUUCUACUACAAUUUUGGCAGUGUCUGUAACCUAGAACUCGGGGUUGUAAUUUUGUUUCAUUUAUUUUUUCUUAUUUA